rnacentral:rRNA from 1 species
GUGGGGAAUAUUGGACAAUGGGCGCAAGCCUGAUCCAGCCAUGCCGCGUGAGUGAUGAAGGCCUUAGGGUUGUAAAGCUCUUUUGUCCGGGAAGAUAAUGACUGUACCGGAAGAAUAAGCCCCGGCUAACUUCGUGCCAGCAGCCGCGGUAAUACGAAGGGGGCGAGCGUUAUUCGGAAUCACUGGGCGUAAAGCGUGCGUAGGCUGUUUUGUAAGUCAGAAGUGAAAGCCCAGGGCUUAACCCUGGAAUUGCUUUUGAAACUACAAGACUCGAAUUCGGGAGAGGAUAGCGGAAUUGUCAGUGUAGCAGUGAAAUGCGUAGAUAUUGACAGGAACACCAGUGGCGCAAGCGGCUAUCUGGACCGAUAUUGACGCUGAGGCACGAAAGCGUGGGGAGCAAACAGGAUUAGAAACCCGUGUAGUCC